AGCCGCACUGCUUCAGUCAGGGUUCAGAAUCAGGAGGCCACAGAAUAAAGGCUUGUCCCAGGUGUUUGAACUCCUAUGAUUGUCGGGGUUGCAUAAGUACUUUCUGGAAGGCUGUCACUCGUUAGCCUAAUGUGAGAGCUUUAAGUCCACAGGAAGACAAGAGAUGAGGGAUUCAAAAAGGGAAAUAGCAAGAAUACACAGGAACCCACAGAAAGGGGCCAGAGCCUAGGUGAGUAGGCAGAACCCCAAAGUUGGCCCUUGAAGACCUGGCUGGAUGUAUGGGUGUCUUAGGAAAGCAGGACUCCGUCCCAGAAAGCUACACACACUCUCAUGGCUGGGGGCCCCGGGGAGUCCAGGGAGAAAGAGGGCAACUGUGGAAGGGCUGUGUCUCCCCAUCAACAAAAUGAGCCAGUCCGAGGCGCCGGGCAGAGCCACACACAGCGGUGGCUUCACCUCUGCCCUCCAGCCCUGCACAUGCGCCUUUCCUAUGUCCCACCUGAGAAAGGGGACAUGAGGAAUGUCAGUCCAGCCAAAAUGCUAUGUUAAAAAUCCACCUGGAAGCCACGUGUGGUGGCCACACCUGUAACCUUUGCACUAGGUGGGGAGAGGAGGCUCAUCUCAGUGAACUCAAGAACAAUCUGGGUAGCAAGUUCCGGGCGAGCCUAGGCUAUAUUGUGAGACCCUGUCUCAAACAAAACUAAAACCAAACAAACAGGAGUCCACUGGAGGCAGAGGAGGGAGGCUACGGAGAUGGCUCUGCUUGUAAAACGCCUGCUGUUCAAGUGUGAGGCCUGGAGUUUGGUCCCCAGAACCCAUAUGAGAAACGGGACAUGGUGACAAGAGCCUGCAACCUCAGUGCUUUGGAGGAAGUAGAACUCUGGUGUAGCCCAGUUGGUUAGCUGCAGGUGGCCUGUCACGUGGCUUGAACUCACGUCAUCAGGCCAGGCAACAAGACUUUACCCACUGAACCACCUUGCCAGCCCUCCUGGUUUUCAUAUUUGCAGUCCUGAGGAUUAAGGCCUGGGCUUCAGACAUGCCAGGCAGAUGCUCUACCACCAGGAUGUGCUUAGCCAGCAGUUCUAUUCGAUGACUCUACAUUGACUUAUGUUCCUGCCUCCAGGUUCCUGCCUCGAGCCACUGCUGACUUCAAGAUGGACUGUGAGCUGGGAGUGAAAUAAACCCUUUCUUCCCCAAGUUGCUUUUGGUCAUGAUCUUUAUCACAGCAGUGGAAACCUGAGAUGCCUGAUAUUCGUAGUAAUAUGAAAAAAGUUCAAUUAAUAAAUUUAACCUAAACCA